rnacentral:rRNA from 1 species
AUAAAUCAUUAAAUAUAAAAGAUUUGGCGGUAUUUUAAAUAAUUAGAGGAACCUGUAUAUUAAUUGAUAUUCCACGAUAAGAUAAACUUAAUGAUUUAUGUAUUGCUGUUUAAAGAUUAUUAUUGAUUAAAUUUUUUAAUUUUUAAUAUAAUUUAAUUCAGGUCAAAAUAUAGUUUAGUUAAGAUAUGGGUUACAAUUAUUUUUUGAGAUUGGAUUUAACAGUAA